AAACCCCGACCGAAGCCGGCCGGACGAGUCCUCCGGAGAAAACUUUCCCAGCCCUGGGUGGAGGGAUGGCUUCCAAUCGAAGGGGGGAAAGUGGGAAAAGGAAAGGCCGGGGGUUCGGAUCGAGAGGUUCCCGGGAGAAAGACGCCCCGCUAGCGCCAACGUCCUCUCGUUAAUCCUGUCAGCGGCCCUGUGAGGGCACCGUCUCAAGAUGAAUAUGGCUCGGGCUUAAAAUAGCCUGAGCAGAUAGGGCUGGUGAUUAAAAGGGAGUACCAGAA